rnacentral:rRNA from 1 species
AGGGGGUUGCUCGGAUUACUGGGCGUAAGGGUUCGUAGGUGGUGCGGUAAGUUGGAAGUGAAAUCUCUGGGCUUAACCCAGAGGCUGCUUUCAAAACUGUCGCGCUCGAGUGCGAGAGAGGUCAGUGGAAUUGCAGGUGUAGCGGUGAAAUGCGUAGAUAUCUGCAGGAACACCCGUGGCGAAGGCGGCUGACUGGAUCGCAACUGACACUGAGGAACGAAAGCUAGGGGAGCAAACAGGAUUAGAUACCCUGGUAGUCCUAGCCCUAAACCAUCGGAACUUGGGGUGGCCCGCGUAGGCGGGUCGUCCCGUAGCUAACGCGUUAAGUUCCGCGCCUGGGGAGUACGGUCGCAAGACUGAAACUCAAAGGAAUUGACGGGGGCCCGCACAAGCGGUGGAACAUGUGGUUCAAUUCGACGCAACGCGAAGAACCUUACCUGGGCUUGAACCGCUACUGACCAACGGUAGAAAUAUCGUCUUCCCGCAAGGGACAGUAGUAGAGGUGCUGCAUGGCUGUCGUCAGCUCGUGCCGUGAGGUGUUGGGUUAAGUCCCGCAACGAGCGCAACCCUUACUCGUAGUUGCUACCCGCAAGGGAGAACUCUACGAGGACUGCUCCGGAUAACGGAGAGGAAGGUGGGGAUGACGUCAAGUCAGCACGGCCUUUAUGUCCAGGGCUACACACGUGUUACAAUGCAUGGUACAGACUGUUGCGAACCCGCGAGGGGGAGCUAAUCGGAUAAAGCCAUGCUCAGUUCGGAUUGCAGUCUGCAACUCGACUGCAUGAAGCUGGAAUCGCUAGUAAUGCCGUAUCAGAUCGACGGCGUGAAUACGUUCCCGGGCCUUGUACACACCGCCCGUCACAUCACGAAAGUGAGCUGUACUAGAAGUCGCCGAGCCAACCGUAAAGGAGGCCAGCGCCCAAGGUAUGGCCCAUGAUUGGGGUGAAGUCGUAACAAGGUAACC